AUGCGAUUUUUGCUCCUUGUAAUUUUCACUGUAGCGGUUUUGGAAGGUGUCCGGUCCCAGGUGCAGCUGGUGGAGUCCGGAGGGGAUGUGAAAAAGCCCGGAGACUCUCUCCGCCUCUCCUGCAAAGCCUCCGGGUUCACCUUCAGCAGCUCCUGGAUGAGCUGGGUCCGACAGGCUCCCGGGAAGGGACUUGAAUGGGUCUCUACUAUAAGCUCCGGUGGGAGUACAUAUUACCCUGAUUCAGUGAAAGGCCGAUUCACCAUCUCCAGGGAUAAUUCCAAGAGUGAGCUGUAUCUGCAACUGACCGGCCUGAAGCCCGAGGACACCGCCCGCUAUUACUGUGCGAGACACACAGUG